GAUUUUAAAAUAUUGUAAUUGCAUAUUUAUCCUUUAGUAUUGUGUAGAUGAUACGUCUUGCCAAACCAUAAUUUUUAAAGGUUACACGUGGCUAAUGGUUUUGAUGGACGUCUUGAGAUUGUACAAAAACCAUGAGAUCCAAUGGUGAAGAAUAAUGACGGUGGGUCGGUAAAAGCCGCUGUAUCGGAAUAAAAAAGAAGAGACAAAGACGAUCUCUAUAUGGUAGUGAAGAAUACUGAUGGUGAGCGAGUAUCAACAUUUCUAAGAAAAAGAAGAAUUGAAGAAGAUGAACUCGUCGUCUAUACUAUAUUCUGUGGAAAAAUAAGUACAGUAUAUAUUUUUAAGUGUAGCUAUUUAUGUAAUGUUACUAUACUAUUUGAAGCAUAUUUCUAUACUACUCCUUAAAAAUGUAAUAAUCUGUAAUGUUUUCAAAUUUGAUAGUUCUCUUUUCUAUCAUUUUGUGUGAUUGAUUGUAAUAUGAAAUUCAUUUUUUUGAGUGUUGGAUAGAUUUAAUUAUUUGGAACA